GCUUACGGCCACACAGCCUGGUUACUCCUGAUCUCGUUUGAUCUCGGAAGCUAAGAUAGGUUGGGCCUGGUUAGUACUUGGAUGGGAGACCGUCUGGGAAUACCAGGUGCUGUAUGCU
ensembl:rRNA 5S_rRNA 5S ribosomal RNA